rnacentral:rRNA from 1 species
UUAAAUUGAAGAGUUUGAUCAUGGCUCAGAUUGAACGCUGGCGGCAGGCCUAACACAUGCAAGUCGAACGGUAACAGGAAGAAGCUUGCUUCUUUGCUGACGAGUGGCGGACGGGUGAGUAAUGUCUGGGAAACUGCCUGAUGGAGGGGGAUAACUACUGGAAACGGUAGCUAAUACCGCAUAACGUCGCAAGACCAAAGAGGGGGACCUUCGGGCCUCUUGCCAUCGGAUGUGCCCAGAUGGGAUUAGCUAGUAGGUGGGGUAACGGCUCACCUAGGCGACGAUCCCUAGCUGGUCUGAGAGGA